GAUGAACGCUAGCUACAGGCUUAACACAUGCAAGUCGAGGGGCAGCAUGGUCUUAGCUUGCUAAGGCCGAUGGCGACCGGCGCACGGGUGAGUAACACGUAUCCAACCUGCCGUCUACUCUUGGACAGCCUUCUGAAAGGAAGAUUAAUACAAGAUGGCAUCAUGAGUCCGCAUGUUCACAUGAUUAAAGGUAUUCCGGUAGACGAUGGGGAUGCGUUCCAUUAGAUAGUAGGCGGGGUAACGGCCCACCUAGUCUUCGAUGGAUAGGGGUUCUGAGAGGAAGGUCCCCCACAUUGGAACUGAGACACGGUCCAAACUCCUACGGGAGGCAGCAGUGAGGAAUAUUGGUCAAUGGGCGAGAGCCUGAACCAGCCAAGUAGCGUGAAGGAUGACUGCCCUAUGGGUUGUAAACUUCUUUUAUAGAGGAAUAAAGUCGGGUAUGCAUACCCGUUUGCAUGUACUUUAUGAAUAAGGAUCGGCUAACUCCGUGCCAGCAGCCGCGGUAAUACGGAGGAUCCGAGCGUUAUCCGGAUUUAUUGGGUUUAAAGGGAGCGUAGAUGGAUGUUUAAGUCAGUUGUGAAAGUUUGCGGCUCAACCGUAAAAUUGCAGUUGAUACUGGAUAUCUUGAGUGCAGUUGAGGCAGGCGGAAUUCGUGGUGUAGCGGUGAAAUGCUUAGAUAUCACGAAGAACUCCGAUUGCGAAGGCAGCCUGCUAAGCUGCAACUGACAUUGAGGCUCGAAAGUGUGGGUAUCAAACAGGAUUAGAUACCCUGGUAGUCCACACGGUAAACGAUGAAUACUCGCUGUUUGCGAUAUACGGCAAGCGGCCAAGCGAAAGCGUUAAGUAUUCCACCUGGGGAGUACGCCGGCAACGGUGAAACUCAAAGGAAUUGACGGGGGCCCGCACAAGCGGAGGAACAUGUGGUUUAAUUCGAUGAUACGCGAGGAACCUUACCCGGGCUUAAAUUGCAGAUGAAUUACGGUGAAAGCCGUAAGCCGCAAGGCAUCUGUGAAGGUGCUGCAUGGUUGUCGUCAGCUCGUGCCGUGAGGUGUCGGCUUAAGUGCCAUAACGAGCGCAACCCUUGUUGUCAGUUACUAACAGGUCAUGCUGAGGACUCUGACAAGACUGCCAUCGUAAGAUGUGAGGAAGGUGGGGAUGACGUCAAAUCAGCACGGCCCUUACGUCCGGGGCUACACACGUGUUACAAUGGGGGGUACAGAGGGCCGCUACCACGCGAGUGGAUGCCAAUCCCAAAAACCUCUCUCAGUUCGGACUGGAGUCUGCAACCCGACUCCACGAAGCUGGAUUCGCUAGUAAUCGCGCAUCAGCCACGGCGCGGUGAAUACGUUCCCGGGCCU
rnacentral:rRNA from 1 species